UACGUAGGCAGCGAGCGUUGUUCGGAGUUACUGGGCGUAAAGGGUGUGUAGGCGGUUGCUUAAGUUUGGUGUGAAAUCUCCCGGCUCAACCGGGAGGGUGCGCCGAAUACUGAGUGGCUAGAGUCCGGUAGGGGCCCACGGAACUCCUGGUGUAGCGGUGAAAUGCGCAGAUAUCAGGAAGAACACCGGUGGCGAAGGCGGUGGGCUGGGCCGGCACUGACGCUGAGGAGCGAAAGCGUGGGGAGCGAACAGG
rnacentral:rRNA from 1 species